rnacentral:rRNA from 1 species
CGAAAGUUAGAGGUUCGAAGGCGAUCAGAUACCGCCCUAGUUCUAACCAUAAACGAUGCCAACCAGCGAUCCGCCUGAGUUCCUCAAAUGACUCGGCGGGCAGCUUCCGGGAAACCAAAGUGUUCGGGUUCCGGGGGAAGUAUGGUUGCAAAGCUGAAACUUAAAGGAAUUGACGGAAGGGCACCACCAGGAGUGGAGCCUGCGGCUUAAUUUGACUCAACACGGGAAAACUUACCCGGCCCGGACACUGGAAGGAUUGACAGAUUGAGAGCUCUUUCUUGAUUCAGUGGGUGGUGGUGCAUGGCCGUUCUUAGUUGGUGGAGCGAUUUGUCUGGUUAAUUCCGAUAACGAACGAGACUCUAGCCUACUAAAUAGGCGUUCCGAUCCUUUAUGUCGGACGUUCUUCUUAGAGGGACAAGCGGCUUUUAGCCGCACGAGACAGAGCAAUAACAGGUCUGUGAUGCCCUUAGAUGUCCGGGGCCGCACGCGCGCUACACUGAAGGAAUCAGCGUGUGCUUUCCCUGUCUGGUAGGACUGGGUAACCCGUUAAACCUCCUUCGUGAUAGGGAUAGGGGCUUGUAAUUGUUCCCCUUGAACGAGGAAUUCCCAGUAAGCACGAGUCAUAAGCUCGUGUUGAUUACGUCCCUGCCCUUUGUACACACCGCCCGUCGCUACUACCGAUUGAAUGAUUUAGUGAGGUCUUCGGACUGGCGCUCGUAGCGACCUUUGGCCGCGCCGACGUGCCGGAAAGAUGACCAAACUUGAUCAUUUAGAGGAAGUAAAAGU